rnacentral:tRNA from 1 species
AGGAAAGGGAGGAAUUC